rnacentral:rRNA from 1 species
CCUACGGGUGGCAGCAGUGGGGAAUAUUGCGCAAUGGGCGAAAGCCUGACGCAGCGACGCCGCGUGAGGGAUGAAGGUCCUCGGAUCGUUAACCUCCGUCAGCAGGGAAGAACGGUCACUGUGUUAAUCAGCAGUGAAUUGACGGUACCUGCAAAGGAAGCACCGGCUAACUCCGUGCCAGCAGCCGAGGUAAUACGGAGGGUGCGUGCGUUAAUCGGAAUUACUGGGCGGAAAGGGCUCGUAGGCGGUAUGUCAAGUCAAGGGUGAAAUCCCCGCGCUCAAGGUGGGAACUGCCUUUGAAACUGGCAAACUGGAGUGUGUGAGAGGAUAGUGGAAUUCCAGGUGGAGGAGUGAAAUGCGUAGAUAUCUGGAGGAACAUCAGUGGCGAAGGCGACUAUCUGGCACAUAACUGACGCUGAGGAGCGAAGGCGUGGGUAGCAAACAGGAUUAGAUACCCCUGUAGUC